rnacentral:rRNA from 1 species
UAAUACAGAGGGUGCGAGCGUUGUUCGGAAUUACUGGGCGUAAAGCGCGCGUAGGUGGUGUGUUAAGUCUGCCGGUCAAAUGCCGAGGCUCAACCUCGUGCCCGCCGGGGAUACUGGCACGCUAGAGACACGUAGAGGCAAGCGGAAUUCCGGGUGUAGCGGUGGAAUGCGUAGAGAUCCGGAAGAACACCGGAGGCGAAGGCGGCUUGCUGGGCGUGAUCUGACGCUGAGGCGCGAAAGCGUGGGGAGCGAACAGGAUUAGAUACCCUGGUAGUCCACGCCGUAAACGAUGGGCACUAGACGCUGGUGGGAUCGACCCCUUCGGUGUCGCAGCUAACGCGAUAAGUGCCCCGCCUGGGGAGUACGGCCGCAAGGCUG